AAUAUUUCUGCCUGAAGCUGUAUUUCUAGGUUGAAAUUCGGUCUUAGCAAUGGUUUCCCUUCUUUCUUAGUUCCCCUUUAUCUUCAUAAAAGGCAAGGUCUUACAGUUAACAGCUGAGAAUGCUGGACAGUCAACGCAAUUUCCAUAAAGU